GACGAACGCUGGCGGCGUGCUUAACACAUGCAAGUCGAACGGAAAGGCCCUGCUUUUGUGGGGUGCUCGAGUGGCGAACGGGUGAGUAACACGUGAGUAACCUGCCCUUGACUUUGGGAUAACUUCAGGAAACUGUGGCUAAUACCGGAUAGGAGCUCCUGCUGCAUGGUGGGGGUUGGAAAGUUUCGGCGGUUGGGGAUGGACUCGCGGCCUAUCAGCUUGUUGGUGGGGUAGUGGCUUACCAAGGCUUUGACGGGUAGCCGGCCUGAGAGGGUGACCGGCCACAUUGGGACUGAGAUACGGCCCAGACUCCUACGGGAGGCAGCAGUGGGGAAUAUUGCACAAUGGGCGGAAGCCUGAUGCAGCAACGCCGCGUGCGGGAUGACGGCCUUCGGGUUGUAAACCGCUUUCGCCUGUGACGAAGCGUGAGUGACGGUAAUGGGUAAAGAAGCACCGGCUAACUACGUG
rnacentral:rRNA from 1 species